AGUUCGAUUAUGGCUCAGAUUGAACGCUGGCGGGAUGUUUACACAUGCAAGUCGAACGGCGGCACGGACUUCGGUCUGGUGGCGAGUGGCGAACGGGUGGUAAUGUAUCGGAACUUGCCUAGUAGCGGGGGAUAACUACGCGAAAGCGUAGCUAAUACCUUGCGCCCUUCGGGGAAAGCGGGGACCUUCGGGCCUCGCACUAUUAGAGCAGCCGAUAUCGGAUUAGCUAGUUGGUGGAGUAACGGCUCACCAAGGCGACGAUCCGUAGCUGGUUUGAGAGGACGACCAGCCACACUGGGACUGAGACACGACCCAGACUCCUACAGGAGGCAGCAGUGGGGAAUUUUGGACAAUGGGGGAAACCCUGAUCCAGCCAUCCCGCGUGUGCGAUGAAGGCCUUCGGGUUGUAAAGCACUUUUGGCAGGAAAGAAACGGCACGGGAUAAUACCCCGUGCAGCUGACGGCUACCUGCAGAAUAAGCGCCGGCUAACUACGUGCCAGCAGCCGCGGUAAUACGUAGGGUGCAAGCGUUAAUCGGAAUUACUGGGCGUAAAGCGUGCGCAGGCGGUUCGGGAAAGAAAGAUGUGAAAUCCCAGAGCUUAACUUUGGAACUGCAUUUUUAACUACCGAGCUAGAGUGUGUCAGAGGGAGGUGGAAUUCCCGCGAUGUAGCAGUGAAAUGCGUAGAUAUGGAGGAACACCGAUGGCGAAGGCAGCCUCUGGGAUAACAACUGACGCUCAUGCACGAAAGCGUGGGGAGCAAACAGGAUUAGAUACCCUGGUAGUUCACGCCCUAAACGAUGUCAACUAGCUGUUGGGGCCUUCGGGCCUUGGUAGCGCAGCUAACGCGUGAAGUUGACCGCCUGGGGAUUACGGUCGCAAGAUUAAAACUCAAAGGAAUUAUUGAGGGACCCGCACAAGCGGUGGAUGAUGUGGAUUAAUUCGAUGCAACGCGAAAAACCUUACCUACCCUUGACAUGUCUGGAAUCCCGAAGAGAUUUGGGAGUGCUCGCAAGAGAACCGGAACACAGGUGCUGCAUGGCUGUCGUCAGCUCGUGUCGUGAGAUGUUGGGUUAAGUCCCGCAACGAGCGCAACCCUUGUCAUUAGUUGCUACGAAAGGGCACUCUAAUGAGACUGCCGGUGACAAACCGGAGGAAGGUGGGGAUGACGUCAAGUCCUCAUGGCCCUUAUGGGUAGGGCUUCACACGUCAUACAAUGGUCGGGACAGAGGGUCGCCAACCCGCGAGGGGAACCAAUCCCAGAAACCCGAUCGUAGUCCGGAUCAUGAUCUGCAACUCGACUGCGUGAAGUCGGAAUCGCUAGUAAUCGCGGAUCAGCAUGUCGCGGUGAAUACGUUCCCGGGUCUUGUACACACCGCCCGUCACACCAUGGGAGUGGGUUUUACCAGAAGUAGUUAGCCUAACCGUCAAGGAGGGCGAUUACCACGGUAGGAUUCAUGACUGGGGUGAAGUCGUAACAAGGUAG
rnacentral:rRNA from 1 species